AGUUAUGUAGAUAUUGGCUAUACACACACACACACGCGCACACACGCACACACACACACACACUUUGGUCUGCAAGAAACCUGCUCUGUGAUCAUUCUUCAGGAUGAGCAAACAUUUCUAAUAAAUUUUUAUCUUGAGAAAUGAGUGAUGUCUUGCAAUGUGAGUACUACAGGACACUGAGCAUCAGUGAUUUCUUCUCUCUCUCCCUCUCUCCUUGUCUCUUUCUCUCUGUGGGCAUGGGGUGCUCACAUCUCAAUAGCCAGAGGUUAUGGAGCAAAUCUCAUCUGCAGAGGAGAGAAAAAGGUGGAGGAAUCCAUCAUUUCUAACGAGAUGAGUGAGAUGUGUAAAAUGUGGGAGACAGUGCAAAAUUUUGUAGAAGAAGGGGGUAGCUAUGUGAAUAAUGCAUCUGUUUAAAAUAACAAUGCAGUGUCAUAUUUCUGUGACAUCCUCAGAUGGAGGCAAAGCAAGUGUCAUUGGACAGGUUCCUUGUUAAAACUGCACAAAAAGAAAAAGAUUCCACUGAGCCAAUCGACACCAGUGAUUCCGUCAGUGAUCGUGAAAGUCAUGAAAGUUGUCCUGUGAGGCACCACUCUUCUCUGGUCUCCCUCACACCAGCCACAAAGGUUUCACAGGUGUUGGAUAUUUUGUCCCUGUGAUGAGGAAACUGACUAACUGGUACCAGGAGUGGGAUUACAACUGUGACUGUACUUGACCAUGUGGUAUAGAAGCCAUCAGGCGAUGUCAGUUGGAGAUGUCAGUUAGAGAAGGCCUAGAAUGCAGUAAGCUGAGCGUGACUGGAGUUCCUGGUCAGAGCUCAGAAGACCAAAACAGAAAAGCAGAGAACGAAGACCAAGCUCAGAAGGUUUCACUGGGAACAUGGAUUCCACUGACAGCUGGACUCCAGCCCAUGUAUAUUAAGCUUUGGCAGAAAAUUUGUCUAUAUUUUAUUCAUGUCUGGAGACUUAACAGGAGCCUGAGAUUGAUCACUUAACAGUUUACCCAGAGCAUCACUUGGGCAGCAUAUUUGUUUAGGUACUGACUAUCCUGAGAAAGGAAGUGCCUAUAAAUAAUGGACCCUGUGAAGUUUUUGUCAAGGAGAGGUUGUUUGAUAAAACUAUCAGUAGUAAAAAGAAGCCAAAUACUUUGUAUGUGGACAAUUGGUAGGAUGUCUUUAGAACAUACUGGAAAUCAGCAAACCCAACCCUUUGAAAGCCCAAGGAUCCAACUGAAAGACUGUGUUUGACUUUCUCUUUGAUUUUAACAGUGGUUUAUAGCAAAGAGUUUGCCUUGAGUCUCUGGUAAGACUUUGGAUGUGGGCUGUUCCAUGGUGCUGAACCUGUGGAGACUUUGGUGAGUCUCAGAGAUGGACUAAAUGCAUUUUGCAUAAAGAAGGGCACACAAGUCUUUAGGGGGUCAGGGUGAAAUGUUAUAGCUUAGAUUAAAAAGGUCCUCUAAAGUCCUUUACACACUGAUAAGUGGGGCUUUUGGUAGGUGACUGAAUCCUGGGGGUGACAUAGUUGAUUUGUGGUUAGGAGGUGAGACUUGGUCCGGACAGGCAGAUCACCAGUACAUGCCGGAUGCUGGAUGCCUCCCUUCUCUCUCUGCUUCCUGGCUGUCGUGAUGUAAGCAGCUUUCCCUGCUAGGCCCUUUGCUCUGCAGUUUUCUGCCUUAGAGCCAGCCAAUCAUGCAGGACUGAGACUUCUAAAACCUUGAGCCAAAAUACACCUUUCCGUGUUUAGGAUGUGUGUGUCAGGAGUUUUGUCCAAACAAUGAGGAAAGUGAUCAAGAUCCUCCACUGUUUCUUACAUUCUGAAAACCUUGUACUCUUAGAAGUUGCAAGAUCUUAAACUAUGUUUUCAUGGAGUCUCAAUUCAAGCCUCUGCAUAAAUAUUGACAAGUACAGACAUUCCUCGUUUGAUGACUGAGUUCCACUCCUGUGAGUAGGUUGUUAAAUGAGCUGGUUGCUGCAUGAGGAACUACACGGAGCCGUGGUGGUGAACCUGUGGUACACACGUACUGCAGGAGCACUGAGCUCUGUCAGCACACAGACCCUGCCCCAGCCAGGGUCUGGCAAGUUAGCACACGUACAACAGUGAAGGUCAUGUUAACUGUGCAAAAGCAUGUUAAAUGCAACUGUUGCUUUUCAAUAAAGAGCUGCUUGUGUCAUUGAAA